rnacentral:rRNA from 1 species
UAUUAUUUUUAGAUUAAUUGUAUGUCCCGAGUUAGUAGUAGAUAUUUACUUAAAAGCUAAGAGAUUUGGCGGUAAUUUAAUCUUUUCAGAGGAACUUGUUUUUUAAUCGAUAAACCGCGAAUUAUCUUGCUUAUUUUGAUAAAGUUUGUAUACCAUCAUUAUCAGGUAAUUUUAAGAGAAUAAAUUACUAAGAUUAAAAAGUUAGUUAAAUUAGAUCAUGGUGCAGCUUAUGGAUAAGUUAAAAUGAGUUACAAUAAAUUGUUUUAUACGGAUAAAUGGAAGAAUUUUUGUUUAGAAGGAGGAUUUGAUUGUAUUAUGAGUUUAAUAUGCUUGUAAGAUGAUAGCUCUAAAUUAUGUACAUAU